rnacentral:rRNA from 1 species
GGAACGUUGACUCCAGUCCUAGAAACAGGCUUCACUCAGGGGGGGGCUCGUUCGGGAGUCCGUCGAAGUGGUAUAACCAGCACCUCAAGUGGUCAGGAUGAUUAUUAAGCGUUAAGCAUCAGCAGCGCAUUCUGUAAGUUUUAAUGCAAAUCUGAGCGCUCAACGUUCCAGCUGGGGGGAACCGGGUAAUAAUGGGAGUGGGAGAGGUAGACGGUCAUCCCUAGGAAGGGGUAAAAUUCUGGGAUACCGCGAUGACCACAGGUGGUGAAGGAGGUAUCACAGGACACGUCCCCUUCCGAGGGAGUACAGUUGGCGUAUCACACUGGAUUAGUUACCCGGGUAGUCCCCGGCGUGAACCAUGCGAAUUCAGAGAUGCAUUAAAACGUGCACAACGCAGUACGGCAGGGAAGCCGUCAAUUUUCCUCCCUGGCACGUACGUACGCAAGUAUGAAACUUAAGGGAACACCAGGGGGAGCCCCCCCAGGGGUGAACCGUGCGGUUCAAUUGGAGUCAAGGCCAGAAAUCUUACCCGGAGAGACAGCAGAAUGAAGGUCAAUCUCACGACUCAACCUGACAUGCCGAGAAGCAGUGCAUAGG